rnacentral:sRNA from 1 species
GUCGUUGCCAUGGAUCCUGGGGACGACUGGCUGGUGGAAUCCUUGCGCUUGUAAAUCGUACCAGGAUUUCUAUGCAUUCGACCUGUCAGGAGCCACUCGAGUCCUUGAAUGGAUUGAUGACAAAGGAGUCUUUGUUGCUGGCUAUGAAAGCCUGAAAAAGAAUGAAAUUCUUCAUCUGAAAUUACCUCUCAGACUUUCUGUAAAGGAAAACAAGGGCUUAUUCCCAGAAAGAGAUUUCAAAGUGCGCCAUGGAGGAUUUUCAGACAGGUCUAUCUUUGAUCUAAAGCAUGUGCCACAUACCAGGUAUGGUCAAUUUUGUGAUCCAGCCAUCCACACAGGAUGGGAUGGGAUGGCUGCAAAUGCCUGGGGGUAUUCUGCCUCCUCAUCUCCAUUCCCACCCCCUCAGCACACAGGCACAUGUGAGUGCACAAGUGUGUGCACACAGAUACACACAGAUUUAGAAUACAAAGAAACCACUGCUGUGGCUUCAUAGCCCCCCAGAGCCCUUGGACUAAUGUAAGUAACAGU